rnacentral:rRNA from 1 species
GGGCGAAAGCCUGACGGAGCGACGCCGCGUGAGUGAGGAAGGUCUUCGGAUCGUAAAACUCUGUCAGAGGGGAAGAAACACGAAUGGGUUAAUACCUCAUUCGCUUGACGGUACCCUCAGAGGAAGCUCCGGCUAACUCCGUGCCAGCAGCCGCGGUAAUACGGAGGGAGCAAACGUUGUUCGGAAUCACUGGGCGUAAAGGGCUCGUAGGCGGCUUUUUAAGUCGGGGGUGAAAUCCAGUGGCUCAACCAUUGGCCUGCCUCCGAAACUGAAAAGCUUGAGUCCGUGAGGGGAGAGGGGAAUUCCUGGUGUAUCGGUGAAAUGAGUUGAUAUCAGGAGGAACACCCGUGGCGAAGGCGCCUCUCUGGCACGGUACUGACGCUGAGGAGCGAAAGCGUGGGGAGCAAACAGGAUUAGAUACCCUGGUAGUCCACGCCGUAAACGAUGAGAACUAGGUGUCGGGGGAUCGACCCCUUCGGUGCCGCAGUUAACGCAUUAAGUUCUCCGCCUGGGGAGUACGGUCGCAAGG